GAAUAGUUCAAUUCCAAAUGAGAAGAUUCUAUUCAUCUCUGAAGAGACAUUUCAUCGAACAGGUACAGUGCUCCUCCAUCACCUCCCCAGCUUAAACCCCUCCGCCGCUCACCUCCAAAAAAUGCAUGGCCUCAACUCCUCUCUCCGCCUCCUUACAUCCAAAUUCUUCUCCACGCAGCCCAAUCUCCAUUGCGCCGGCCCCACGGCGUGUCUCUUAAAAACCCGAUCCAUAAUCCGGUUCAGCGGACCCGAAACCUUCAAGUUCCUCCAAGGUCUCCUCACCAACGACGUCCGGAGCUUGGACGAUCCGCAAACUGCGGCGGCGCCGGUGUACGCCGCGAUGCUGACUCCUCAAGGGAGGUUUCUCUACGAUUUUUUCUUGUACAGACCGCCCCGCCCCGACCCGGGUGAGCUGGAGGUUUAUGCGGAUGUGGAUGGAUCCGUCGUCGACGAGCUCUUGGCUGCCUUGAAAAAAUAUCGUUUGAGGUCCAAGGUCGAUAUUGAGAAUGUCGGGGAGGAUUUUUCGUGCUGGCAACGGUUUGGUCGGGGCCUUGAACUUGACUCUUCGCAGGGAAAUAACAUUGGUUGGAAUUGGCAUAACGAUCCACGACUGACUUGUCUAGGAUAUAGGGGCAUCUUUCCAUCUAAUGCAACACCGCCUCUAGUCGAGGAGGACAAGGAAACGGAUGAACGAAACUUUCUUCUUUGGAGAUUAGAGAAGGGAGUUGCAGAAGGCUCUUCUGAGAUUCCAAAGGGUGAGGCAAUACCACUUGAAUACAAUCUUGUUGGUCUAAAUGCUAUAAGCUUUGACAAGGGAUGUUAUGUUGGCCAAGAACUUGUUGCUCGUACACAUCACCGUGGAGUAAUCCGAAAACGUUUGAUUCCUGUUCGAUUCUUGAGUAUUAGCGCAAAAGAGGCGGAGCAACAAGUAUCUCCAGGUUCGGAAGUGAUAGGCAGUGCGUCUAAAAAGAAAGCCGGGACGGUCACGACUGCCCUUGGGUCUUGUGGUUUGGCACUCGUGCGCUUGGAGGAAGCUUUCAAAGAGACGGGUGCCUUGACCAUCAAUGGCCGGGAAGAUAUCAAAGUCGAGACUAUUAGGCCAAAAUGGUGGCCUCCGGAGUGGUUUCUUCAUCAGCAACAGAAGAUGUAGGAUUUGUAUGCGACUUCGCAGCAGGGAACUUUUGCAAUAUGAAUCAGAAGCUCAAGAUCAUCAGGAAGUCGUACAAGCAUCCCGGAAAGGCGAAUUACGUUGUCGUAUUUGCACAAGUCCUCCAUAACCGGUUUUUCUUCGGCUGCAGCAAACAUAAAAUGAAGUUGAGAUAUCACCGCAGGAACCCCUAUUGAAAUGAUGGAGUUGUUAAGAUAUUCUUCCAUGCUUGGUGUAUAUCCUCUGUGGUACCACUUUGCCUCUUGUAAAUAUGCUUCAACCAAAUCCACCCACUGCAGUCAACAACAAUCCAGGUGUAUAUAAUAUAAUCAUUGAUGGAUCCAGGAAAUGGAAUUCGUAGGGUCACAUUGGAAUCGUCUAAUUUUACCGCUCUGUGUAGACAUGUGAUAUCAUCUUCUUUAGAAAUAUCACGUGCUAAUUCGGAAACAAAGUUGUGGAUUACGGAAUAAAACA